GUUGCCAGCGAUUAGGUCGGGAACUCAAAGGAGACUGCCAGUGAUAAACUGGAGGAAGGUGGGGAUGACGUCAAGUCAUCAUGGCCCUUACGACCAGGGCUACACACGUGCUACAAUGGCGCAUACAAAGAGAAGCGACCUCGCGAGAGCAAGCGGACCUCAUAAAGUGCGUCGUAGUCCGGAUUGGAGUCUGCAACUCGACUCCAUGAAGUCGGAAUCGCUAGUAAUCGUGGAUCAGAAUGCCACGGUGAAUACGUUCCCGGGCCUUGUACACACCGCCCGUCACACCAUGGGAGUGGGUUGCAAAAGAAGUAGGUAGCUUAACCUUCGGGAGGGCGCUUACCACUUUGUGAUUCAUGACUGGGGUGAAGUCGUAACAAGGUAACCGUAGGGGAACCUGCGGUUGGA
rnacentral:rRNA from 6 species